rnacentral:lncRNA from 1 species
UGGGGGAGUGUGGAGUGUAAAGAAAAAUUUUAUUUUUUAUUUUUUUAACUUAAACUUUUAUGACGCGCAUUUUUUUUAUCCUUUAUUUUAUUUUUUUGCCAUGUCAGUUUUAGGGGUAAAUAAAUUCACUUUUAGAUACUAAAGAUAUGUAAUAGAUUGUCAUAAUUUAAGCGUGUAGCUGAUUUUUCAAAACAAGUUCAAGGAAGAAUUUAUGUCUUUCCCUUUUUUCUUCAAUCCAAAUUCCAGAUUAUCAUAAAAGAUCAUUAAUCCACAACAUAAUUAGUCGUAAUAACACUAUAUAUAACAAGUAAUCGACAAAAAAUCUCUUGUGCUGCCAC